GGCUAGGGGUCUAAUCGGAGCUGUAGCCAGCAGCCUAUGCCAAAGACAUAGCCAUGUGGGAUCUGAGCUGUGUCUGCAACCUACACCACAGCUCACGGCAACACCAGAUCCUUAACCCACUGAGCGAGGCCAAGGAUUGAACCUGCAACCUCAUAGUUCUUAGUCGGAUUCAUUAACCACUGAGCUACGAUGGGAACUCCUGAAACAGAAUAUUUUUUAAAAAGUAUCCUUUCACGAAUAUACUUAACUAAGAUGUUUCUAUUUUGCCAUUUAUUUUGUCUUUCCCCUAAGCUUUUGGUAGGCUAUUAACUGAAAAUACAGUUGCUCCCUGUACAAAGAAAUGUCAUAUUAGUUUUGUGAGUUCGAAAGAGCCCUCCUGACUCUUUCCAAUUUCCAAUCACUCGUUUCCCUACUUCAGCAUCUGUCUUAGAGGAGAAAUAAAAGGUUUAUCUAUGCUUUGCACUUCUUACUUAGGAGUAGAGCAGUUUCAUAAUUCUUCUAUUGAUAAUUGAAUAAACUAAUCAAAUUUACUUACAUCUAAUAAGCUUAAGAAAUUAUUAGAGGAGUAUGAACCUUAUCUACUUUUACCCAAAGACAUUAAAAACAUAUGGAAUACAUAUCAGCAUCAGCUACCUCUGGUGCGAUCUACGAAGCAAGGCACAUGCGUUCUGUGGUAUUCUUACCCAAAGUGUAGAAUCUUAACGUGUGCGCAAGAAAAUAUCCAAUAUACCCAAACUGAGGGGUGUGAGGCCAGCCAUCGUUCUUCCAAACCUCAGAUCAGUACUUUUCAAGACAUUCUGCUAAAGGAACGCAAGGAAGGAUAGAGAAACUGUUGGAGAUUGAAAGAAACUGCAGAGACCUGACAACUCAAUGCGUGGUGAGACCCUGGGACCAAAAAAAGAGCAGUAGUGGAAAAGGCGGUGAAAUCUGAAUAAAGGCCGUAGUUUAGUGGAGCAGUAUUGUACCAGUGUCGGUCGCCCAGUUUGGGUAACUUUCUUGUGGUUACUCAGUAGGUUAUCCUCAGGACAAACCAGGUGAAGAGCGUGUGAACACUCCUUAUGCUACUUUUGCAACUUUUCUCUAAGUCUGCAUUAAUUAAAAAGAAUACUCGUACACUUGCCCAAGUGGCCUAUAGACACUUGCUUAUCCAGAUUUCAUUUUCUCCUUAUUUUGAGCUUGUGUUUCUUUCACAGUAUGGAGAAGUGGUUUAGCGUCCUAACUUAGACCUGAAAGAAGGCUGGGAGUUCCCGUGGUGGCACAGCAGAAGUGAAGCCGACUAGUAUCCAUGAGGAUGUAAGAUGCUCCUGACAAGGAUGAGGACGGAUCUCCAGUUUCCCAGCGACUGGAACAUGGGGAUCUCUGAGCUUGUCCAAGACUGAGCCUUGCAGGUUCUCUCCGAGACGACAUGGCUCAUAAUGGACGGUUCAAGCCAAAUUAUCCAUUAUUGUUCUCAAAGUUUACAAUUAAACUAUCGAUCAAAACUGGCAGUGAUUCCUCCAGCAGCCCAAGCGCAGGGGCCGCCGAAUUGCAUCAGAACCCGAGUGCGUCCAGGCAGAAGCAGAGGAUGCAGACAGACCAGACAGCAGCCUGAUGGACACACAUACCCUCCACCCAUCACCCCGGGAUCCAGCAUCUGGUACUUUUCCUGGAGCCAGCACACGGGCCGCAACCCGGGGGUGCGUGGUCUGCGAGUGCGCGGGUGCGGUUUUAAUAGCGAGAGGUCCACGCAAUUUGCGACCCCCAUCCCUGGCUGGAAAAAUUGGAGUUUAACAGGUUCGGCUCCAUAGGGAACCAAGCUCAGCUUUUAGGCUCCUUCAGACACGGCAGAAUGCAUCUUUUCUGGGGAAUUCCACAAUAAAAUGACUGUUAUUUAUCAU
rnacentral:lncRNA from 1 species